GUGUGUGUGUGUGUGUGUGUGUGUGUGUGUGUGUGUGUGUGUGUGUGUGUGUGAGAACCAUGUUGGAGCGCUUUAGCGAAGCAGCGUAGCGUGCAGUACAGGAGUGAUGUGGGCUGAGCCGACCUGACCGAGCCCCGGCCCUCCGCUAAUCCUGCCGUUUUCAGGAGCCCUGGCCCGUACUUGAUGAGCUUGGCCGACAGGUAUGAGCCCAUCGUGUGCAACAUGCAAUCACUAAAAUACUUUCCCCGCAUCACCAAACAGCACAGGAGCCGUGGAGCACCACUAUUACUACAGCAACUCAAUUUCGCACAACCAAAGGAGAGAGGAGGUGGAGACUACUUAUCACUCCUACAGAGAGUUUCUAAGAGGAUGUGCCGUGGAGCAGGAGGGAGGCCGGCAGUGUGGCAGAGCCCUUACUGAGUGUCAUGACGGGAGGGAAGAGGAAGCGAGUUGUGUGUCCACCAAUGUUUGUCUUCCCCUGCGGUCCUGCCCGCCUCUGUCACACACUAUUGUGGCCCAGGCAGAUUGAUGGGCAGCAGUGGCAGGAAACGAGCUGGGAAAGAAAAAGAAAAAAACUCUGAAGCAGUAUCACAGGUCAGAAGCGCUGAACCGGAAUCUGCUUUGAGAAGCAGCAGGAUGAAAAGGAAUCGGAUCCCAGAAGAGUCCUUCUGUUUUAAGCUGGGUUAUGAACACUGGUCCAGAUGGCAGGCAACGGUGCCGCUUGAAGACUAAUAUUUUUGCAGAGGAGGCUGCAGUGAGUGGGCCGAGCCGAAGGAAGCAGCCCGACUGAGCUCCACAGGAGGCUGUGCUCAGGAAACCCAAACCCUCAGUGACCCCUGACCUCUGCUACUGCUGCAACAUCUGCACCAGAGAGACCAAAAUGAAGAAAAAAGAUGAGGAACAGACAUUGAGGUACAGUGAGGAUGAGGAGUAAAAAUGUCAAGUGUACAGUACGCAGAGAACGAGAGAAGCGGUAAAAGGAAAUGCUCUGCUGUUGUCCAGAAUUGUCCAUCAGAUGAGCUGCUAUGGUUUGGUUUGAGUGGUCAGACUGUGAGAGAUGGUAAUCUGGACUAUUACUGUAAUCCUCUGUCAGCAGUGGUAGAAGCGGCUGGAAACAAGCUCUCUCCGACCAUCAGACUCGCUCGCUGAGGGUUUGCAGGCAGCAGUUUCAACUUUCUUCCCUUAAGCAUGAAUGAAAUUGUGAAGCCUUUGGAUCUGACAUUAUACUGUAUGUAUUGGGGAGACCAAGGCUAGUGGACAAGUGAUUCUUUAUUUGUUAUUUCAGCGAUGUAUUCCUUAAAGUGUUUGUUUAUUUGACUUUCAAACUGUUUACAACCAAUAUAAACGUCCCGUGAAGUCCUUUGAAA